GACAGAGGUGCCGAGCGUUAGGCGGAAUCACUGGGCUUAAAGCGUGUGUAGGCGGAUCGUUAAGUACCUUGUGAAAUCCCACGGCUCAACCGUGGAACUGCUGGGUAUACUGGCGGUCUUGAGCCACCUAGGGGCGAGCGGAACAAAUGGUGGAGCGGUGAAAUGCGUAGAUAUCAUUUGGAACGCCAAUGGUGAAAACAGCUCGCUGGGGGUGUACUGACACUGAGACACGAAAGCCAGGGGAGCGAACGGG
rnacentral:rRNA from 1 species